UAAGUCAACAUCGUCAUUCUCAUCAUCAAUGUAUAUUAGACACCAUCAUUCAAGUCAUCAUCAUAAUUAUACGUCGUCAUUCUCAUAGUCAAUAUAUAUAUUUACACACCACCCUCAUCAUCAUCAUAGAUAAACAUCAUUACUCUCAUCAUCAUACUGAUAUAGUUAUCGUCAUCCUCAUCAUCACUAACAUAUAAACAUUAUCAUUUCUCAUCAUAUUUAUUUAAUUACAUAUAUAUAAUAUCUUCGUCAUCACUCCUCAUCACAUUAUAGAUUCCUCAUUAUUCAUCUCUAUCAACCGUUUAUAUCACCAUUGUAUCUCUUCACUAAUCCAACCCUUACGCGUAAUUCAAUUCUACGUCAACUUCCCUAUAUUUUAUUUUAGUAUUCAUUUUACGAACAUACAUUAUUCUCUCAUCUAUUCUAGACUCUAUAAACUUUAUUCCUAAUAUCAUACCCUAUUCCUCAUUCUUGGUCUCAAGUUGUUUUCUUAUUCGCUAUCAUUACAUGCAAAGUCUCCGCUCUAUAUAUCUAGGUUUUU
rnacentral:lncRNA from 1 species